GGCUGAGUAGCUCAGUUGGUAGAGCAGAGGACUGAAAAUCCUUGUGUCGGCGGUUCAAUUCCGUCCUCAGCCACCA
rnacentral:tRNA from 1 species